rnacentral:rRNA from 1 species
GACGAACGCUGGCGGCGUGCUUAACACAUGCAAGUCGAGCGGUAAGGCCCUUCGGGGUACACGAGCGGCGAACGGGUGAGUAACACGUGGGUGACCUGCCCCCUACUCUGGGAUAAGCCUGGGAAACUGGGUCUAAUACCGGAUAUGACUACAUGUCGCAUGGUGUGUGGUGGAAAGUUUUUCGGUGGGGAUGGCCCGCGGCCUAUCAGCUUGUUGGUGGGGUGAUGGCCUACCAAGGCGACGACGGUAGCCGCCUGAGAGGGCGGACCGGCCACACUGGGACGUGAGACACGGCCCAGACUCCUACGGGAGGCAGCAGUGGGGAAGUAUUGCGCAAUGGGCGGAAGCCUGACGCAGCGACGCCGCGU